GCAAGACCAAAGUGGGGGACCUUCGGGCCUCAUGCCAUCAGAUGUGCCAGAUGGGAUUAGCUAGUAGGUGGGGUAACGGCUCACCUAGGCGACGAUCCCUAGCUGGUCUGAGAGGAUGACCAGCCACACUGGAACUGAGACACGGUCCAGACUCCUACGGGAGGCAGCAGUGGGGAAUAUUGCACAAUGGGCGCAAGCCUGAUGCAGCCAUGCCGCGUGUGUGAAGAAGG
rnacentral:rRNA from 1 species